rnacentral:lncRNA from 1 species
UAAAAUAUUAAUUUGAUGAGGUUGUAUAGACCUCACUAUGUCAACAUUUGAAUAGUAAUAAGAAACAAGUUUUUAAAGAAUGCAUUACAUUAUAAUUGAAAUAAAAUAAACACAACCAAUGACAACAACAUGAACGUUUAUUAGAAGUUGUAGUCCAUGAUUAAUGAUAAAAAUUGCAUAAAUGAUCUUGUUGUCAAUCAAGCAUAUUUAUUUGAGCUAUAGAACCUACAAAGGAAAAAAUUGAUAUAAGAGUAAUAAUCAGUAACCAAUACAAAUAUAAAUUAUGUAUAAUUUGAAAAUGUUAAACAAACCUUAUAGAAACGCCAAUAACCCUUCGAAUUAGAUGAUCAAUAAACUGUUUGACGUCUUUUUAUGCUGCCAACAAUAAAAAGAAUAACCAUAUCAAUUUUCCUAUUAAUAAAAUUUAAAUUGAAAUUAAUUGUAAGAUAAAUCAGCACUUACAUGUCAAAUAUUAUCGAAGACAUCUUGAUACACGAUAUUGUGUGUGGUGUUAGAUACAACUCCUACUUUAUCUAUGAUGGGCAUCUUUAACCAUUUUCUAGAUUUAACUCUAGAAAGUGCAACAUGUAGCUGCCCAUGAGUAAAGACAUGCCUUGGCAAAUACAAUCUAACAAGAUAUAAAGAUUGCCCCUGACUUUUAUUUAAAGUCAUUGUAAAACAUAAAGUAACAGGGAAUUGUCUACGCUGAAAUUUGAAUGGAAUGUCAGAAUUAGAUGAAGUUAAAAAAUGUAAUUUAUUAAAAAAUAUAAUUUUUUUGUCAAUUAUUAAUAAUUAAUUGUCUAGUUGAUGGACUUUUUGGAUUGAUUACAGUAAUAAAUGAACGUAUUUAAGGUAUUAAAACCAAUUUGUAAUCACUAAUUUUAAAAAAUAAAUGAACUUAACGUUACCACUAAUUUUUCUAUUAUAAAGGAAAGAUUUAAAAGCAAUUAAAACUAAUUAAAAUUAUUUAAAGAAUAUAAUUAUUAAUGGUAUAAUUAAUUGAAAUUUUGACUGAGGAUUAAUGUGUAAUAAAUUUCUCAUAAUUCAACUCAAUUUAAUGUCUUUUUCAAAUCAUAUUUUUAUUAAAUAAUAAAUUGGGGCUCGAUUUUUUAAUUACGUGAUUUUUAAGGAAGAGAUUGACGAAAAAUUAAUGUAUUAGAAAAAAACGUUACAUACGUGAUUUUUAAUUUUUUUAUGAAUUAUGCAAUGUGGUAACUAAUUAGCAUUAAAUUAGUUCAUUAUUUCGGGCAUAAAUUGAUGAAAAAAUACAUAACUCUUUUAAAAAUAUUUUCAAUAAUAAAUUAUAAGAUAUCAUUCAGUUUAGAAUGAAUAAGAAAUAUGUUUCAUGAAUAACUAAUGAUUUGUAUUAUUUGUGAUUUAAUUUUGCCAUAAAUAAAUUCAGAAUUAAAAAAAUUUGAAAAAGUAAAGAAUAAUAAUUUAUCACUAAUUUUGUUAUAAUUAAGUUGAGAAUUAAAAGCAAUUAAAACUGAUUUUAGCAUAAAAAUGGUCGUAGUUAAUUUUGCUAGAAAUAUGUUUAGAAUUAAAAGCAGUUAAAAAUAAUUUAAUAAUAAUAAUUUCGUCAUUAAUUUUAUUAUAAAUAAGGAAAUGAAUUGAAUACAACUAAAAUUUGAUUAAAUAGCAAUAUUGUCGUGUUUUAUUUUGCUAUAAAUAAGUCAAGAAUUAAAAGCAAUUAAUUUUCCAUAAGAAAAUUCAGAAUUAAAAUCAAUUAAUACUUAACAAAUGCUUUGACAAAAUCAAAAAUUUAAAAUUAGAGUUAUUAACUAAUAUCGUCAUUAAUUUUAGUAUAAAUAUUGAAAUGAAUUAAAUAAAAUUAAAAUUUAUUAAAUGGAAAUAAUGUCGUGUUUUAUUUUCCUAUAAAUAAGUCAAGAAUUAAAAUCAAUUAAUUUUACCUUAAAUAAAUUCAGAAUUAAAAACAAUUAAUAUUUAAUAAAUGCUUUGACUUAAUAAAAAAUUUAAAAUUUGAACCACUAACCAAUGUGGUCAUUAAUUUUGCUAUAUAUAUGACAAUGAUUUGAGUACAAUUAAAUGUGAUUUAAUAGCAAUAACUUCAUGUUCUAUUUUGAUAUAAAUUAGUCAAGAAUUAAAAACAAUUAAUUUUUCCAUAAAUAAAUUUAGAAUAAAAAGCAAUUAAUAUUUAAUAAAUGCUUUGAAAAAAUAAAAAAAUUAAAAUUUGAAUCACUAACCAAUGUCGUCAUUUAUUUUUCUACAAAUAAGGAAUUAAAUUAAAUACAAUUAUAAUGAAUUAAAUAGAAAUAAUGUCUUGAUUCUAAUUUUGAAAAGAUACUAAAACUGAUUAAUUGAUUUCGUCAUCAUUUUCUUUUUUAUAAAUAAUAAAAAUGGAUAAAAUCCUAUUUUUUGCACUUAAUCCACAAAAAUUUAAAAUUAGUCAAGCUUUUUAAAGUACAAUUAAUUGAUCACUUUAGUAUCUUUUAAUAAUUCAUAAUUAAUAUGAAUUUUUAAAAUUGACCAAAAAGGGAAUUAAUAGGUGAGAAAGGAAAGAAAUACAUAAAGACAGGAAAGGUAAUUUAAAAGUGAGAAAGGAAAUAAAUUAAAUGACAAACGUAAAAAAAUGAUGAAGUAAUUGAGGGAAGAAGAAGAAUGGGUUUGACGAAAACAAAAACAAACAAAAUAUCAUUACAUGAAUCUAGAAAAAAAGCUAAAGUAGCAUAUAUUCACUAAAUUUGAAUGGACUUGUAUGUACAAUAUCACAUUAUAUAAUAAACGUGUUAUUCAAAUUUUAUAAUUUCCUUUAACAUGAGACAAAGUAUAGGUUUUGGGUUGUUCUUACAUAACGGCCUAAAAAUUUGCUCUGCCCAGCCGAAAUUUUUCAGAGGUAGGCUCCUCAGAAAAAUUGAAUUCCUCCAACACCUUUUUGCCAAUCCUAUUUCCAGAGGUUAAAAAAAUGUUCUCAACAUUUCCUAUUUCAAGAGACAUUUAACGCACAUGAUAUAUCACAUGAAACUUUCCUUUCUAAAAUCAAUCGUUAUGAGUGAAUAUUAAAGGGGGAGAAAAAAUCGAUUUUAACAUUAUAGACAAUAUUUUAGAAAAUAGAAUCUAGACUUCACUUGUGCAUAAGUAGUUCCAAACCAUGAUCUGGUAAUCAUCACCUGCAAUUAAAAAAACACUCAACUUAUUAAUAGUUAACGAAAAAAAUUCAGAUCUAACAGAUCGAUUGAAUGAAAAAUAGAGAAGAAUACCGAGAAUGAAUGUCAGAGGGAAAGAGAGGCUGAGAGUUAUGGAAAUCAAAUGAUGGAGAGAGAUUUAAAUUAUGGAGAAAGAAAUGAUGAAUUAGAGUCUUAAAUAGACUUUUUAAGAGAUUCA